GUGGUACUGGCCGCGGUCUAAGUUACGGUUCACUUACAAUAUGGUUACAGAAACUCCAAAAUCCUUGAUAAUACGGGGUUCCGCUUGUGUAACAUAGUGGAUUUUAUGUUAUAUAACAUUGUCCAAUAAGGAUAUGCCACGUGGCACACCCUUUUUUUAAAAAAAAAAAUCAAUUAAAGCUGAUGGAAAGAAACACGUGAGAGAGUAGAAACUGAGAAAACGCAACACGCUUCUCUUCUCCUUCUCCUCUACGACAUGAACUCACCACCCACCUUCAACUAUCCUCCGCCACCGCCGACACCUCCCUCAGCCAUCGACCACCUUUCCCCUUCUUUUUCUCCCAUGCGACAAUCUCUUUUUCAGAUUUGAUGAAAUUUGAUUUGGAAUGGAUUUUGAGAUUCAUUAAGGAAAAUCAAUUAAAGCUGAUUCAUUGAGGGUUUUUAUUGUUGAGAUCAGUAGACUAAUAAGUAAUAACAACACUUUCAGUUGUCUCUUGAGUGAUGGGUUGAUUUAGGAUAUUUUAAAUUGUGACAAAAAUAGUGAAAAAGGGUUACAAUGAUGUUGCAGAGAAAUUGAAAAUAUGUGAAAUUGCUAUUAUUCAAAAUUGAGCAUUUGUUAUGAAAACUGAGCAUCUUAUGAAAACUGAGUUAUUUUGCUGCUAUUAGAAUGCUGAAAAUCUAUGAAAUUGCAGCUAUGUAUAACAAUUACCAAAUGUGGAGAUUUUGAGAUAAAUGAGUGUGUAUCAGAUAAUUAAAGAAUUGGAUGCUCGAUUCCAACCUCUCUUUCGUGUGUAUGAGAUAAUUAAAGAAUAAAACUAUGAUUUAAUACACGAAAAACAAAAGUGCUGCAACCUGCUAUAUGUAUUUGGGAGUAACUUUCUUUUGAAAAUUGUUCUUUAGGCAUCUUAGAAAGUGAGCAUCUGUUAUGAA
rnacentral:lncRNA from 1 species